UACGUAGGGGGCAAGCGUUGUCCGGAUUUAUUGGGCGUAAAGAGCGUGUAGGCGGUUUGGUAGGUCCGCUGUGAAAACUCGAGGCUCAACCUCGAGACGCCGGUGGAAACCAUCAGGCUAGAGUCCGGAAGAGGAGAGUGGAAUUCCUGGUGUAGCGGUGAAAUGCGCAGAUAUCAGGAAGAACACCCGUGGCUAAGGCGGCUCUCUAGUACGGUACUGACGCUAGACG
rnacentral:rRNA from 1 species